GUUGAUGUUACUUGAUUGUUUAUAUUGAUAGAAGGACUUGAUAACACUGGAGAGCAGAGAGGUUUUAUCAGCGGCCCAAGACGAAGUUGUUGACUCUGUACUUGACGACAGAAACAAUGAAAGGGACAUUGUCGUGUCUAUGAAUCUGCAUGAAAUGCCUUGCGAAUGUGCUACGCGACGUGACAUGCGCACGCUGAAACCAGGGGCAUGGCUAUCCGACACUCCAAUCAACUUGGUCGCGGUUCAAUUGACUAACGGACAGCGGCAAGUACACAAAGACGGGAGGCAUACUGCGUGGUUCUUUCCAGUAUA